UCCCUCCUUUCAUACGUCCCUUUUUUCCCACCUAGCUCACCAAGUCUGCUGCACUCAUUUUUUUUUCUUUCUCUAACAAACCAGAGAAACCAGAGAUGCCUGAAUCUGCAGACGUUCCCAAUCAGUGCCAGGUCCUCAAACAGGAGGUGGACAAAUGUGUCCAAGGGAAGGGUGCGGAAGCAUGCAAGGAGCUGAUGGAAGCUUUCGAGGCCUGUGUGAAAAGCAGCGUGAGCGCUUCAUGAGAAAAAAGCUUGAGAAGGUCCUCUUCCUUCAGGUCCUUCAGCAUCCCUGCAUUCCCCAGCGCCAUUACUAAGACCAGCCAGAGGCGACGGUGCUGCCGGUUUCCUGGUCUGGAUCACGGAGGUCUCAGCGAUGUUCUGAAUUUAUUAUGUAUGCAAAUGCAGCAGCAGGAGCUCACAGGAUUUGAAUCCAGUAUGUCAGAACAAGUAUUUCUUAAUCUAAGAGAAAUGUAGUUGAUAUAAAUGAUUUUUGAAUAAAAUAUACUUUUAUUA